UAAAACUUUGUGGGGCAUUUGAUAUUGUU
rnacentral:piRNA from 1 species